CACCAGCUCCCCGGGGGCUAGGAGUGAAGACGUGAGCCCGGAGAACAGGUCGUGAACUUUCUAACAGCCCUUGCUCGCGGUUUGUUAACACAUCCACUCACGUGCAGUCAGACUGUGUGGAGCUUCCAUGGACGAGGGUGGGUCGAAGGGGCAAAAACAGGACAGCAUUUACAUAACAUCUUUGCUUUUACGUAAAAUGCACUAUAAAAGUCUUGCUUGCAUUUUUCCAAAACAGAGUCAAACUGUAAUAUUUUAGAUUAUAUAUAUGUCAUAAUUGUGCCAAAUUUCCCAUCUUCCUUCAAAAUUUUCUGUAAGCAUUUUUACAAGUUUUAUAUUUGGCUCCAUUCUGUUACCACCUUAAUUUGAUUGUAAGUUCUGUGUUUCAGCAGCUUAUUUUUGUUUCUUUUUCUUAAGGUGGUAGCUUAAGAAAGAAUUUGCAUAAAAGUCUUUUUUCAAACUAGUUGCAAUGGAAAGGCCUUCACAGCCGUUUAGAACCUUGGGCUAUACUGCCCCCAUGUGGCCACUUUGGUGAACCAACAAGGGCAUCCAGCAGCAGCCUUGAAGGCAGACAAUGUAGACAAGGAAUGUUUUUAGGUUCAGCUGUUUAAUAUUUGCCUCUGCUGGCACCAUGCCCACAUGGACAGGAAAUAUUUCCACAGCAGCUCAGGGCAGAUGAUGCACAGCUCUCUCUUAUUUUUCUAAAGAACAAAAGGAGCAUCAGUGGAAGACAUAGGCGGGUGCCUGUGGUAAAAUGAAGGUCCACGCUGCUGAGGGCCAAUCUCUGCAGAUCCCCGAGCUCACGACCUUGCAACAGGGUCAGAAAAUGCUUUGUGAUGCCUGUCACAUAUCUGUCUCGUAUGCCCAACAACCAUUGCAGAAGCUCCCAGUGAUUCUAAGUGUAGCCAAGUUUGAAAACCACAGCUGCAAGCCCAUCAACCUGAGAGUGUGCCUGAGCAAGGGCUACAGCCCGAGGAGGACCCAGCCUGGCGGGAAGCGCGCAGCCUGCAGGCCAGGGAGAAUCUGCGUUCAGCUCCUCGAUUUCACAACAGAACAUUAACUCUGUCUUCCUGUAUGCUGGUUUUUAAAGCGUAUGCAUCUAAACUUAAUUGGCAAUAUAAAAUACCUGUAUUUGAGGCUCCAAGUAUUUUGCUUUCAUCUCUGGUUUUGAAUUAUGUUUUGCCCCGUCCAUUCCAAGUGAAAAGUAAAUAAAAGUGGGAUAUCUGGUGCCCAUGCUGAGUGUGGCAGCUUCAAAUUCAAGAGAGAACAGUGUCUCAUGUAGAAAAGGUCUGAGAUG
rnacentral:lncRNA from 1 species